GGAGGUAUAGCUCAGUGGUAGAGUAUAUGCCUAGCAUGCACAAAGUCCUGGGUUCAAUCCCCAGGAUCUCCA
rnacentral:tRNA from 1 species